rnacentral:rRNA from 1 species
UACAGAGGGGGCAAGCGUUAUUCGGAAUUAUUGGGCGUAAAGGGCGCGUAGGCGGCCUGGCAAGUGGAAGGUGAAAUCCCUCGGCUUAACCGGGGAACUGCGUCUGAUACUGGGUGGCUUGAGAUUGGGAGAGGGAUGCGGAAUUCCAGGUGUAGCGGUGAAAUGCGUAGAUAUCUGGAGGAACACCGGUGGCGAAGGCGGCAUCCUGGACCAACACUGACGCUGAGGAGCGAAAGCCAGGGGAGCAAACGGG